rnacentral:tRNA from 1 species
GCCAGUGUGGCAUAGUGGUUUGAGUGUUGGACUAUGACUCUAGAGACCACAGUUUGAUUCCCAGCUCAGCCA